rnacentral:rRNA from 1 species
UACAGAGGUGGUAAGCGUUGUUCGGAAUUACUGGGCGUAAAGGGCGCGUAGGCGGUUCGAUAAGUCCCGUGUGAAAUCCCUCGGCUCAACUGAGGAACUGCACGGGAAACUGACGGGCUUGAGUUCGGGAGAGGUAAGCGGAAUUCCGGGUGUAGCGGUGAAAUGCGUAGAUAUCCGGAGGAACACCGGUGGCGAAGGCGGCUUCCUGGACCGACACUGACGCUGAGGCGCGAAAGCUAGGGGAGCAAACGGG